rnacentral:rRNA from 1 species
UACGAAGGGGGCGAGCGUUGUUCGGAUUCAUUGGGCGUAAAGGGUGCGUAGGCGGCGCGGUAAGUCGGGUGUGAAAUCUCGGAGCUUAACUCCGAAACUGCAUUCGAUACUGCCGUGCUUGAGGACUGGAGAGGAGACUGGAAUUCAUGGUGUAGCAGUGAAAUGCGUAGAGAUCAUGAGGAAGACCAGUGGCGAAGGCGGGUCUCUGGACAGUUCCUGACACUGAGGCACGAAGGCCAGGGGAGCAAACGGG